rnacentral:lncRNA from 1 species
GGAAAAUCUAGUCCAAGGGUGCCGCGUGGGACAGAGCCAAUGUCCACGCCUCGCAGGGUUCGUGAUAAUUUUGUGAACUUCCACAUGGAGCCUGGACUGUGCCUGACUGGAAGCUACACUGAGGACGGCUCCUUGUCUUGAUGAGGAAGCUCCAGUAUCGCUCCUGGACUGUCUGGAUGGCUCCAGUGCUUCUCCGGG